rnacentral:rRNA from 1 species
UACGUAGGGUGCAAGCGUUGUCCGGAAUUAUUGGGCGUAAAGAGCGUGUAGGCGGCCCCCAUUAGUCCGCUGUGAAAGUCCAGGGCUCAACCCUGGAAUGCCGGUGGAUACUGUGGGGCUAGAGUCCGGAAGGGGCGAGUGGAAUUCCUGGUGUAGCGGUGAAAUGCGCAGAUAUCAGGAGGAACACCAAUGGCGAAGGCAGCUCGCUGGGACGUGACUGACGCUGAGACGCGAAAGCGUGGGGGAGCAAACAGG